rnacentral:sRNA from 1 species
GCCGGGUGCGGUGGCGCACGCCUGUAAUCCCAGUGGCUCAGGAGGCUGAGGCAGGAGGAUCACGAGUUCAAGGUCAGCCUCAGCAAUGGUAGGUGCUAAGCAACUCAGUGAGAGCCUGUCCCUA